ensembl:lncRNA
UCACAUCUGAUUGUGUGUGUGCGUGUAUGAUCACAUCUGAUUGUGUGUGUGUGUGUGUGUGUGUGAUCACAUCUGAUUGUGUGUGUGUGUGUGAUCACAUCUGAUUGUGUGUGUGUGUGUGUGUGUAUGAUCACAUCUGUGUGUCUGUGUGUGAUCACAUCUGAUUGUGUGUGUGUCUGUGUGUGAUCACAUCUGAUUGUGUGUGUGUGUGUCUGUGUGUGAUCACAUCUGAUUGUGUGUGUGUGUGUGUGUGUGUGUGUGUGUGUGUGUGAUCACAUCUGAUUGUGUGUGUGUCUGUGUGUGAUCACAUCUGAUUGUGUGUGUGUCUGUGUGUGAUCACAUCUGAUUGUGUGUGUGUGUCUGUGUGUGAUCACAUCUGAUUGUGUGUCUGUGUGUGUAUGAUCACAUCUGAUUGUGUGUGUGUGUGUGUGUGUGUGUGUGUGUGUCUGUGUGUGAUCACAUCUGAUUGUGUGUCUGUGUGUGAUCACAUCUGAUUGUGUGUGUGUGUAUGAUCACAUCUGAUUUUGUGUGUGUGUGUGUAUGAUCACAUCUGAUUGUGUGUGUGUGUGAUCACAUCUGAUUUUGUGUGUGUGUGAUCACAUUUGAUUUUGUGUGUGUGUGUGUAUGAUCACAUCUGAGUGUGUGUGUGUGUGUGUGAUCACAUCUGAUUGUGUGUGUAUGAUCACAUCUGAUUGUGUUUGUGUGUAUGAUCACAUCUGAUUGUGUGUGUGUGUGUGUGUGUGUGUGUGUGUGUGUGUGAUCACAUCUGAUUGCUUACAGGAGCAGAGUCAGGAAGAAGAGGAGGUGCUAAAGCAGGAUUCAGGUGUUCAGGUGUGUGUGUGUGUGUGUGUGUGUGUUUGUGUGUGACUUAAUGUUAGUGUGUGUGUGUGUGACAAUGUUUGUGUGUGUGUGUGACUUAAUGUUAGUGUGUGUGUGUGUGUGUGUGUGUGUGUGUGUGUGUGUGUGUGUGUGUGUGUGUGUGUGAUAUACUGGAUAUCCUCUUUUGUUCUCCCUGUCAAGUUCUAUUGGCUAGCACAUCAAUGCUUUAUUUCUUUUACUUACUGCUAUAUUUUCUCUCUUCUUCAUAAUACAAACUAUUUGCCUUUUACCCUUACUCCGUCUCCACACUUUUAAUAAUUAAAUAUUACAUUAAAUAUACCUACAUUAUGCGUUAAGACAACCCCAUAUAUCUCACACACACACACACACACACACACACACACAUGUGGACGUUGAGCCUUCUGCCGUAAACCGUUUGUGUCUGAGCAUCCGGUAGCGACAUAUGUCUAUGUGUAAUGGCCAACUUCUUAAUUUUCUUAUUUUAAUAUGUGGCCAUAUAAAGAAAAUGUUUUUUUUUUCUCAUCAUUAUUGCGUUAACAUAUGGACACACAUUGAAAAUAAAGUUUUAACACUUGAGUUAUCUUCUGAAAGU